GAUGAACGCUAGCUACAGGCUUAACACAUGCAAGUCGAGGGGCAUCACAGUGUAGCAAUACACGGGUGGCAACCGGCGCACGGGUGCGUAACACGUAUCCAAUCUGCCCGUUACUCGGGGAUAGCCUUCUGAAAGGAAGAUUAAUACCCGAUGGCAUGUAUUUCCGGCAUCGGAGAUACAUUAAAGAUUUAUCGGUAACGGAUGAGGAUGCGUACGAUUAGCUUGUUGGCGGGGUAACGGCCCACCAAGGCGACGAUCAGUAGGGGUUCUGAGAGGAAGGUCCCCCACAUUGGAACUGAGACACGGUCCAAACUCCUACGGGAGGCAGCAGUGAGGAAUAUUGGUCAAUGGACGGAAGUCUGAACCAGCCAAGUCGCGUGAAGGAUGAAGGUUCUAUGGAUUGUAAACUUCUUUUGUCUGAGGGUAAAAAAGGCCACGUGUGGCUUCUUGCAAGUAUCAGACGAAUAAGCAUCGGCUAACUCCGUGCCAGCAGCCGCGG
rnacentral:rRNA from 1 species